UAAAUAUUAUAGAAAUAUAAAAUUUAAAAGAAAUUUUUUAUUAUUAUUGCAAACUGAUGGAAUCUACUAGGUCAUUUGUAUUUAUUCAGGAAUAAACAAUUUAUCCAGCACACACAGUUGGAAAAUUUGAGUUAAAUAUUUAUAUCGCACAUUCAUUCAAAUUUUGGUUUGGUUAAUUUAACAGAAGAUGAAUAUGUUAGAAAUUAACAUAAAUAUUAUGUAAAAAAUUAACACAAAAAAUAAUAAUUUGACACAGUUUUAAAACAAAGUGUAAAAACACUUUCUAUUUCUUCAGUAAAAUUAACAUUUAUAUAAUAUGUUGACACAUACAUUUUACUCAUUUAGCAGUUAGCUUAAAAUUUAUGUUUCAAAAUUAAAUUACUCUUUUAUGAUAUUUGUUUCCUCACCCAUAAGAUAACAUUAAGAAAUGUUGAUUAUCAAUUUCACACAAAAUAUUCAAAUAACACACUCAAAUUAUAUGAAAUUAACAUUUAGAUAUGUUAAAGUUCACGACAAAAAAUUUAACAAGGACCGAUUUUAACACGAGCACAAAGACCCGUAUUUAGAGCGUGCUUUUCUAUCGUUAUCAUUCAUUAAACGAAGUGAAGUAAAGAUAGAAUAACAAAAGAAGGCGCGCUGACGUUUUUAGAAUGCGUCCUAAAUUGCGGACCAAAAUAUUUUCUAGCAUCAGAUCAGUUCAAGUAACAGAUAUAAAUAUAUGAAGUACUCACCCUAUCGUUGCUCCGCCGUUGCCCGAUGCCUUCCCUGGCCUCCUCCUCCUCUUCCUCUCUUUCUCCCUUUGUCGAUCCUCUGGAUGAAUCACCCACACAACACUCACUCGCGAGACAAGGCUAAUUACGACCGCGCGGCACUUUUCACGUCACGCCCGACGAUAAUUGUACGUACACGAUCGCGCACUUGAUCAUGUCGCGACGAGAUGGUCCGCUCAACAUGGCGACGUCUCGCAAAUUACUUGCAUAAACGAAUUCGAGAGGAAAUAGGAGAAUCAUUGCGCGGCAACUUCACGCGCUAACCAUCGUCGCGACACGACGCUACACCUGUUGCACCGACUGCACCUUCGCGCACCUCUUCCACACUUACGCAAGAAAUAACGUACGCCAGCACUUUGGGGUUAUUGACGAUCGCUGUCUGGCAUUGCGACUAAAGCGAAUAAAUAUACGAACGAUGAUUAAAGAUGUAUAUAUCGCGGAAUGCAACAUAGAAAGGACGAUUUCGUAUACCGAAAUACAGAUCUGAAAAGAAUUACGUUAAAUUAUAGUAUAAAAAAAUUAUACUGUGGGCAUUUAAGAAAAGAAUGUCAAAAUCACUUUGCAAUAAUAUUAUCAUGCUUGAGUAUCCCGCGCGAUUAUUAUGAUGAUCCAACAUAAAAUUAUUUCUGAUAUCUAGCAAAAUUUUUAUUGCAGCGAAAUUGUUCUUUGCUCCGUGAACGUCUGAUUGGGCCAGCGAUAAAUUCUAAUCGAAUCAAUCUCGCCGAGUACGCACUUUAAUGAGUUACCGGCAUUUAUAUUACACGAUCGGCAAAUAUUAGAGUACGUUUGAACGCGGGACUAAUUCGAGCGUACUUACUAAUUAAACGCAUCGCAAAGCCACUCAACUUGGCAUCGAUCCGUUCCGUGUCAGCGAAACAUGCCGUUACUGAUCGAGACAGAAAGAGAGAGAGAGAGAGAGAGAGUGAUUGGCGAAAUACUUCACUCGAUAUCGCGCGAGUCGAACUGAUAGAUCGAUCGAUCGAGACACCACGGAUGUCUAAAAAUAAAUGAACAAAAGAAGGGCGUCACGGAAAGACUUGUUCCUACUGUGCUCGGAAGGAAAAUUUAUAACAGACUCUCUUUUCUUUAUCCCUUCUUAAUUGCAAUAAAGAGAGCCGGGCUCUUCGAUACGUUUACGCGUCGCAAGUCGCGAGAAAGCCUCGUCUACAGUAAUCGCAAGCGGCCAGUUAGAGCUCGACAGCCAAUGACUGUCGAGCUCUAACUAGAAACUAGGCGUUCAUUGGCUCUCGCAAUCUGCGACUAUUGUAGACGAGGCUUAAUCGCCCGCGGGCUGGUAGAGUGUUAAUCCUUCAUGUGGGGAAUAAUCCACGCUUUCCUUCUACCGCGGUCGCGUCCUCGAGAGCCGAAGGCGCGACGCGUCCUGGCGAGUAGAGGCGAGUCGCCGGCGCCCGAAAACGUAAACACAACACGGCGUAAGGUAGUACGCAGUAACGUAACCGUGUUUACGCGUGUGAUAUCCUCGCUCGCGCUACUCGGUCGGUCGGUAGGCUAUGUUGUCGUUGUCGGCCACGUACGGCGAUGUCAACAAUGAGCGCGCGCCGAGAUUUGCACUAGUCGAUUCGACACCGCUGUUGAGAUCUAAACGCGCUCCAGCGAGAUAGACACGCGCGCCCUAAAUAGCCUCUCCUCUCCCCCUCCCCGUCUCUUCUCUCUCUCUAUAUAUAUUCCGUCCGUUGGCUGUAGCAAGUUCCGCGCCACACGUCGGUUAACCCUAAACCGACCUUCACGAUUCGUCUGUUAAACCCGCCUCAAGUGUCGACUUGAGUUUCUUUUACGGAAGGACGCGUCACGGGUUUUCUUUUCUUUUUCUUCGUUUUUCCCUGCAGCUUCGCCGUCGCGUGUGGAUAUCACCGCGGAUCGUCAGAGCUGUUUUUCACCGCGUGAUACGACGUAUUGCGCGUUCAUUUUUCGCCUCUCGCGAAACGUAUUUUUAUAUUUCCUACGGCCUGACAUUGUAAUAUAUUUAUGCUGUCGAUCGCGUCAUUUAUUUAUGAUUAUUGCUCCCGCGAGUAAUGAAUCGUUGUAGAUUAAACAUCGAUGGGCGAGGCUUUUAUACUCUCAUUUACGAGGUAAACCUCGCUAGAAUAAUUUAUAAUUUAUCCGACGCGCCAUUACGAUAUUUACGUAUUCCACGUUAUUAUUUUUCACGCGAGCGUUUGAUCGCGCGCAAUUGAUACCCCAAUAAAACCGGACGUCGGCCGAAAUUUCGGUUUCCCGUCGCUUGUUCGGUCCGAGGAAAAAAAAACAAACGUGGCGUUCACAAGUACCACGAAAUAACGCGAGGCACGUUAUACGAUUUCAUUUCUUCGAUAAUAAAACCUCGUUAUCGAUCUAAUCAUUGCGUUAUAAUUUACAGACUACGUGGAGAGAGAGAGAGAGGGGGGGGGAUAACAGUUGUUCCCUUUCUCCUCUUUCAUUCUGAAAAUCGUCGUGCUGUCGAUAUCCCAUCAUUUCCGUCCUAUUUACGAUUAUCCCCCCCCCCUCCCCCCUGGCCACAGGACCGACCCGGAUUACUUUAGAUACUCCCGCGCGAAAAUGACGCGCGGGCGGCGUCAUUUGCCAUACGUUUUCAUCACGUCGGUCGUUGCGUAACGCGCGGAGUGCAUUAACACCGCCCGUCCUGAUCCUGACGCGCGGGCACGUUUGUACUCGUUACCCGCGUUCCGCGAAAACGACUCUUUACGACGGCCCGCGAUGCAUUAACGCGGGUUGUUUAGCGGAUGCCGAGCGCUCGACGCUUCAGGCCUCGUCUACAACGAAUUGUUACGUCGUUGGUCAUAAGAGACUUAACCAAUCACAUUAGCUUGUUUUUCUCCAAGAUCAAUUGCGAUUGGCUAGAUACUUUAUGACCAACGACCAACGACUCAUUGUAGACGAGGCAUUACGAGUUCCGGUGGGCGCGCUUCCGCCGACUAACAAUCGCGCGAUCAAGUCCGGCGAGGAGCGCGAGCGUGUUCCGAAGGACGGUUAACCUUCAAGCGGGUGGUCGCGCGCGAUCGUAGAUCAACGUCGGCCACUUAGGCAUUACUAGCGCGCGUCCCCGCGUCCUCGCGGAACUCGAGUCUCUUCGCGUCCGCUCGGGCGAGACGGCGAGUUCCGCGAACGCACGAGCGCGGUCGGGAGUUACCGAAUUCCUCGCGACGACGCGACGGUUUGAUCGGUCGGUCGCCGGAAGGACGCAUCGCGCGAUCGACGCCGUUCGUUCGACGUGCUUGUCGUCGCCUCGCGCACCUUCGCGACGGUAAUCCGCUUUGACUUGUACGCGCGUACGUCUCGCGAUUAUCCGCUCGGCCAGUGGGAGACGAAGUGAAAGCAGCAACGGGGAAAUCGCAGCCAUCGAUUGACACCGAUUUCGAUAUUAUUGGAUCGUCGGAAGACAUUAAAAACACAUUAACGAAUUUUACAUUAAGAGAUACGUAAAAUACUUCUCCGUAACGCUUUCUGGCUUGAAAUAUUCCUCGCAGCGCACUUUUGUGCACUUUCUACAACACAUCAUAAAGAAGAAUUCUUUGCGCGCAGUUUUAUUACGCGACCUGACGGAAAGCUACUCACAUACCUGGAAAAGCAGUUUCGUAUUUUUGUAAUUAUUCGGACCCGAGAAACCGUGGAGCCGAGGAGAGUACACGGCUGGCAGCGUAAUAAUAUCCUAAGAAGAAACUUAAUAUCUUUGAACUCCAUGCUAUCGACAGCUUCGACCGGUGCCAAGUAGGUAUCUUUUUUGACAAAUCGCUUUUAAAGAUCAGCGCGAAAUGGAGACCAAUUAAACCUUUUAAUUGAAACUUAGUUCUGCAUAGUGGCUGGAAGUUGUCGCAAAAUAUUUUUGAAAUGAACUUGCGCAAUUUUUCAAUAAAUUAAAAAUCUCCUUUUAAAUAAUAAUGGAGUUUUAAAAAUUAAAAUUAAACGUUGUGCGCGUGCGUAAUUUUAGCUACAAAUAUAAAUAACUGACGAUAAAUAAGACUAGAACUGAAACAAGUAUAAUACGAGAAAAAAAAGACUUUUAUUGCCAUGAUGAAGGUGGGCUUACAUUAAAGAGAACAAUUCCUAUUGUCGACUUAUAAAACGAGCCAUGCGAAUCGCUUUCGCGAUAUCCCGCGAAUGAAUGCAAUGCAAGAUCGAUCGCGAUACAAUGGCGACAGAUCGCUCCUUCGUGCGGGCUCACCUUUCGGAUCUCGAUCCUCCUCCUCUCUCUCUCUCUCUCUUUCUCUUUCUCUCUCCCGCCCCACUUUUGGUUGCCAUUUGUGUCGUGCAAUGGAGUGCACUGGUCCUGACAGCACUUCAGUCCCCUGCUUUCGCUUUGUCCGCUGCUCCGCUCCGACAAUGAGACUCGGCUUCGCGAUAUGAAUGAAUCCUUCCCAAGCCCCGGGUACAUCCCCCUCGGGCUGGAAGUGCUGCAGGUCCCCUCUUCCCCUUUCCUCCUCGCGCACAUCCGAUUCCCGGCGUACCGGGAAUACCGCCCAGAGCACUGCCGGAGCCCGCUCAUAUUUCCUCCAAUAAAGUCAAACGUUCUCGGGCAUGACCCCUUCCGGCGGAUCAACCAGCGAUUCGUCCAUAUCGACACCUCGGGCGCCUCUCAAGCGGUACGUACAUGCCGUCUCGUUUGAAAUACUUCGAGACUCCGUGUGGGACUCCUUCGAAAUUAUUCCCAUAAUGUCAUUAAGCGAUCCCAUUCCGAUUGUUUUACGUUAUGAAAAUUCUUUACAUGUCUUACCUUCGGGCUCGACUAAGAUUUCGCGAUUUUGGAAUCACGAUUUUUUUUCUUAAAAUCUUCGAGGUUUCUAUCGCUAGCAAUUUAUAUUAAAUAUUAAUAUUAGAUAUCACACACAUUUGAGAGAAGUAAUUCAAUAACUCUCGAGUACUUGAGAAAUAAAAAAUGGAGACGACAGAAGAGCAGAAACUGAUCGUAUUGUAAAUAGUGUAAAUAUUUAACUUCAAUUUAUACGUAUAUCAUUGAUGAAUCGGCGCACAUAUUUUCGAAGAUGGAACAGAUACGUCCUGAAACAGGAAGCAGACACGAACAAAAGCGACUUUUUUUUAUUCGAAAGUGCGCACCUGCGUAAAAAUUGCAGGUUUAUUUAUACCUGUCUAAUGGAUUCUAUCGGGCUUUCCCGGAGUUUUUCAGAUGCGUAACGUCCACGCCAAUCUUGUUAUUCGCUCGAUCCAUUAGCGCUCGAUGUAACGCGCAUGUGACGCCCAAUUUUUGCUAAUUGCAAUAUAUUUUCAUCCCUCCGCGCCGCUGGCCGUGUGGGCUUCCGAAAACGGUAAGUCCACACCACGCGCGCUUUCACUUCUCGUGGGACCGUAAGGCGGGGCGCGCGGACGCGUGCGCGAUAGAAACUAUAUUAACAUCACAUAAAACCGUGGAAUCGCGGCGAAACUUAUGUGGUUAUUUGUCCCCUGGGUGACCACGUUAUACGUGCGUCAAGGCGGUCUAUAUAUCUUCCUUUUGAGAGAAGGCUGCUUUCCUUUCGUUCCCCGCCUCUCUCCGCGCUUCUCGGCGUCAAGCCCCCAACGUGAGAGAAGACUCUCGCCGAGUCGCCGUCCGGUCAGACUCUGAAAAUGGUAGAGUCAGAUAAUGAGGCGACCAUUUUUUCUUAUUUCCGGCGAAGCACGUGAAUACUGAUUUAUUUCGCGGCACGCGCGAAACUCGUCGGCGCCGAAAGUAUUUUCCAUUUCCUCGACGUCGCGGCCGUCGCUCGAGAUACCAGGCAGAUAUGGCGAAUACCGCUGGGGCCAUCUCGUCGUCUCUCUCGCGCCCGCCUGACGUUGAUGCUCAUUUAAUGAUAAUGUCGACUAUCGCUUUCCCUCUCCUCGCUUCCCUCUCGCUAUUCCCCUCCGCGCGUCGGAGAUACUUUUCUCAAUUGGAAGAUCGAGGCUCUCGAUAUCCAAUCGCCUGCGCCGGCGUCUUUCCUAUUUGUUCCAUCUGCCACGUACGUAUCUGCCCAUCGCCUCGUUCGCAGUAUUUUCGCAGAUGCAUGAUGAACGAGCUUUCAUUAUCAUUACGUCCGCGCGGAUAGCUCAAUCCGAUUGAUCGCCAUAUCUCAUCUCGAUCUCACGUCGAUCUCUGGUUGUUAUUAACCGCUGACGCAACAAGAACGCCAGGCGACUUUACGGCUGCUAAAAGUUGCGCGAAAGACUAAUUAAGACGCGGGCAAUCAUUAUGCGGCAUAAAGAACGGUUGAGAUUAAUUGCUGAAGUUCCGCGCCUGCAUGAGGAGUCGGCGAGAAGAGGCGCGCAGGCCUCUCUCUCUCUCUCUCUCUCUCCCUCUCCCUCUCCUUCCCUCCACCUCUCGUUGCCCGAGCACGGUGCAAUAAUAGCGUAAAUUGCGACGUAAUGAAUGCAGCCUGACAGAAAGUAACGAAGCUCCUCGUCGUCGUCGUCGUCGGCCACUUCUCUAUUCCGCUUGUGACAUGAUCUACAGCAAACGGAGACGGCAGCGCACAUGCACAGCGCGGAUGCGUGAGAAGUGCGUGCGAGCACUAAAGCGCCGCACUUUAUCUUCCCUGUCCUCGCAUUCUCGCAAAUUAAUUAAUUAAUUAAUCCUGUCGUGUGCCAGCACUUGUACAGUCGCGAUUGCAGCUCUCUAAUUCUGACUUGUUUUCUUUUUACAUCACGUAAUGAAAGGGUGAGCUUGUCUUUGGCAAACGACACGAAAUUCAAUUUUGUAUUUAAUAAAACAAACGUUAGCUGUUGAAAAAAAAGGACAACAUGUCCCUCUUCGCAAUAACUUGUAAUAAGUAACACGUUUCCUAGCGAAUUUACACAAUCCGGGGAUCGCAAUUAAAUGUCCCUACAACCUUGGUUAGAGUUGGUUUAUUUUAUUUUCCAUGAACGGUAAAUUUAUUAAAAUAACGAGAUGGUAAAGCCCCCUACAAUUAAUUUGUAAUUGGGGACAUGACAAAAGAACUCAGAUCUACGUAAAUGGCAAAUAAUUAUUUACGACAAUCACUAGCGCAAACUCACGCUUCAUCGGUAGACAGGGAACGAGGGAGGAUUGAAUUAUUUAGCGGGAUUAAUGUACCCGUAGUCGUCGUUACCCCCGCUCGAGUUACCGUGACGUAGAUAUUACGUAGGCGCGAGGCACAGGAGAUAGGUUUUCAGGUAAAUCCACGAGCCGGAUCCAAGAUGGUACACGUUCGAUGUACACGCUGCUGAAAGGUCCGCGUGCAGCAUACGUUGCGCAGCGCGGGUCUCCUUUGAAAUCUGCUUAGACGUCGUGCGCGCCGCAUAAUGUAGGAGCCGGCUGUACGGCUUAACGUGAGUAAAGCGAAGUGAUUGGAGCGAAAGAAAGUAAUGAGAAUAAUUGUUCUCUUGUCAAAAACGAUAUUCCCGCACACAGAAUGUAUGAAGUACAAGAUUUCAUUUUUAAUAAAAGAAAGAGACGUGAAAUAAAUGUGGAAAAUUGUAAAAGACAAAGUUGCUGAAUGUAUACCAGUCACCUAAAAAUUGUUCCUUAUUAAUAUUUUAUAUUUUCACUUCAUGUAGACAUAUACUAAUAAGAAGAAUGAAAUAAAUGAGAAAUGUAUAUAAUAGCAAUAUAUAUAAACAAAAGUUUUAUAUACAUAAAUCAAAAACAGAUUACAUUUUGUUUUAUGCAUGUUGACAAUACUAAAAAAAAUCAGGUAAAACCAAUACUAAUUUUUGAUUAACUUAUGUAAAUGAAAGUAAUGUAAUCAUGCAAUUUUAUAUUAAAUUUUUAUAUAAGUAAAAUCUUUUCCAAAAGACUUAUUAUUUAGAACAUUUUAUAUACAAUGUAUUUUAUACACAUAUAUUUGCAAUUAUUAUAAAGAUUAAAUUAAAAUUUCUAUAAAAUUUAUUCAGUUUUUCUUAACUUAUACGAUAUCACAAUUUUUAUUGUGUGUAUGUGAUAAUUGAUAAAUGACAAAACUAAUAAUAAAAACGAAUAAUAUAAUAUCAAUUGUAAAAGUAAAUUCAAGUUGGUUUUAUUUUGUUGGUUCUAUCUAUCCAUUUAUCUAUAAUUGUAUUUAAUAAUUAUUAAAUAUUUUAUUUUUUUUCGAUAAAUUAGUAAUAAAAUAAAUAUUAGUUAAUAUUAUCCUAAAUUUAAUUAUUUAUAAUUUUGAUACUUUGAAAGGACAAUUUGGGAGAUUCACAGGUACAAUUUAAGUGAUCAGUUACUUAAAUCAUACUUCUUGCAACAUUUUACUAAAAGACUUAUAAUAAAUAAAUUUUUAUUGCUGAAAGAUUAAAUUGUAGCAAAAAAUGCUGAAACAUCAAACUAUAAUUUCCAACGUUCGCUCAUGUCCAAA